UCGAUCCGAAUUAAUCGAUCAUCGGCUGCGUGCCUGGCUCCCUGUAUGCCACACAUGUAGCCCGAUCCGUGCCGAGGUUGGAUGCUGUGGGUGGCGUGCAAGGAGCCAAGCAUGCAUACAUACAAGCUCCAUGAUCGAUCCAUCCA